rnacentral:rRNA from 1 species
UAGCUACAGGCUUAACACAUGCAAGUCGAGGGGAAACGACAUCGAAAGCUUGCUUUUGAUGGGCGUCGACCGGCGCACGGGUGAGUAACGCGUAUCCAACCUGCCCACCACUUGGGGAUAACCUUGCGAAAGUAAGACUAAUACCCAAUGACGUCUCUAGAAGACAUCUGAAAGAGAUUAAAGAUUUAUCGGUGAUGGAUGGGGAUGCGUCUGAUUAGCUUGUUGGCGGGGUAACGGCCCACCAAGGCGACGAUCAGUAGGGGUUCUGAGAGGAAGGUCCCCCACAUUGGAACUGAGACACGGUCCAAACUCCUACGGGAGGCAGCAGUGAGGAAUAUUGGUCAAUGGACGAGAGUCUGAACCAGCCAAGUAGCGUGCAGGAUGACGGCCCUAUGGGUUGUAAACUGCUUUUAUAAGGGAAUAAAGUGAGUCUCGUGAGACUUUUUGCAUGUACCUUAUGAAUAAGGACCGGCUAAUUCCGUGCCAGCAGCCGCGGUAAUACGGAAGGUCCGGGCGUUAUCCGGAUUUAUUGGGUUUAAAGGGAGCGUAGGCCGGAGAUUAAGCGUGUUGUGAAAUGAAGACGCUCAACGUCUGCACUGCAGCGCGAACUGGUUUCCUUGAGUACACACAAAGUGGGCGGAAUUCGAGUAGUAGCGGGGAAGAGGCUUAGAUAUCUCGAAGAUCUUCUCGUAAGCGAAGGCAGCUCUCCUGGAGCGCAACUGACGCUGAAGCUCGAAAGAGCAGGUAUCGAACAAGAUUAGGAUACCUUGUUAGUCCGCUCGGUAAACGAUGGAUGUCCUCUGUUGGUCUGAAUAGGUCAGCGGCCAAGCGAAAGCAUGAAGCAUCCCACCUGGGGAGUACGCCGGCAGCGGUGAAACUCAAAGGAAUUGACGGGGGCCCGCACAAGCGGAGGAACAUGUGGUUUAAUUAGAUGAUACGCGAGGAACCUUACCCGGGCUUGAAUUGCAGAGGAAGGAUUGGGAGACAAUGACGCCCUUCGGGGCCUCUGUGAAGGUGCUGCAUGGUUGUCGUCAGCUCGUGCCGUGAGGUGUCGGCUUAAGUUCCAUAACGAGCGCAACCCCUCUCCUUAGUAGCCAUCAGGUCAAGCUGGGCACUCUGGGGACACUGCCACCGUAAGGUGUGAGG